UACAGAGGUCUCAAGCGUUGUUCGGAUUCAUUGGGCGUAAAGGGUGCGCAGGCGGUGUGGUAAGUUGAGUGUGAAAUCCCGAGGCUUAACCUUGGAACUGCACUCAAUACUGCCAUGCUAGAGGAAUGUAGAGGAGAGUGGAAUUCACGGUGUAGCAGUGAAAUGCGUAGAUAUCGUGAGGAAGACCAGUUGCGAAGGCGACUCUCUGGGCAUUUCCUGACGCUCAGGCACGAAGGCCAGGGGAGCAAACGGG
rnacentral:rRNA from 1 species